GAAGGCUUUUAAAGGGGCAGCGAACUUUGGUUCGCGUGCGGGCGCGGAAUCCGGGGAGGAGGUGGCGGCUGUUUCCGUCUCGGACGGAGGUAGGGGAAGACUCCCUGGCAGGUGGGCCCCACCUGCGGGACCCACGCGUCAGCGGCUGCGGGUGGAGUGGAGCUGGGCUGGGGGCCCGGCUGGGCCGCUGCUUGCCCACGCGGGCAGAAGGCGGGGGAGAGGGGGAGGCGCGGGGCGCUGGGCCGAGAGCCGGCCCAGGUGAGGGCUCUCCCUUUUUCUUUUUUUUAUUUUUGUAAAAC
rnacentral:lncRNA from 1 species